rnacentral:rRNA from 1 species
UACAGGGGGUGCAAACGUUGCUCGGAAUUAUUGGGCGUAAAGCGCGCGUAGGCGGCUACCUAAGUCGGAUGUGAAAGCCCCUGGCUUAACUGGGGAAGUGCACCCGAAACUGAGUAGCUAGAGUACGAAAGAGGGUCGCGGAAUUCCCGGUGUAGAGGUGAAAUUCGUAGAUAUCGGGAGGAACACCGGUGGCGAAGGCGGCGACCUGGGUCGACACUGACGCUGAGGCGCGAAAGCGUGGGGAGCAAACAGG